UUCUACGAGAGAAUUUUAAAU
rnacentral:piRNA from 1 species